UGCAAAAAUCCGCUGUCCCCCAAAA
rnacentral:misc_RNA from 1 species